UACGUAGGGGGCAAGCGUUGUCCGGAAUCAUUGGGCGUAAAGAGCGUGUAGGCGGUUCAGUAAGUCUGCUGUGAAAGUCCAGGGCUCAACCCUGGGAUGCCGGUCGAUACUGCCGGACUAGAGUUCGGAAGAGGCGAGUGGAAUUCCCGGUGUAGCGGUGAAAUGCGCAGAUAUCGGGAGGAACACCUAUGGGCGAAAGGCAGCUCGCUGGGACGUUACUGAC
rnacentral:rRNA from 1 species